rnacentral:sRNA from 1 species
UCCGGGCAUGGUGGUGUAUGCCUGUAAUCCCAGCAGCUCCGGAGGCUGAGGCAGGAUUGCAAGUUCAAGGCCAGCCUCUGCAACUUAGCAAGGCCCUAAGCAACUUAGUGAGACCCUGUCUCUA